rnacentral:rRNA from 1 species
GAUGAACGCUGGCGGCGUGCUUAACACAUGCAAGUCGAACGGAAGGGCGAGAAUCUUGCUGCGCUCAUGUGAGCGGCGGGCGGGUGAGUCACAUGUGUAUACCCUACCUAUCAGACUGGGAUAACUACGGGAAAUCGUAUCUAACACCCGAUAAUAUUUUGAACCGCGGGGUUCAUUGGUGAAAGACGGUCUUGCGGUCCCUUAUAGCGGGUUCCCAGCUGCAUUAGCUAGUUGGUACGGUAACGGCUUACCAAGGCUAGGAUGCGUAGCCGACCUGACAGGCGGAUAGGCCACACUGGAACUGAGACACGGUCCAGACUCCUGCGGGAGGCAGCAGUAGGGAAUCUUCGGCAAUGGGCGAAAGCCUGACAGAGCAACGCGGCGUGAGUGAUGAAGGCCUUCGGAUCGUAAAGCUCUGUUAUUGGGGACGAACAGAUGUGUACGUAGCUGAGCCCAGCUUGACGGUACCUGAUCAAAAAGCAACGGCUAACUACGUG